GGGUGAACUUUCCCCUGCGAGAUUCUGGUGAAAGGGGAAAUGUGCUUCGAGUCAGUAAAGCUGCGCAAGUGCACAGUCAAGGAGAGAGUCUUGGGAAAACCAAGGAUAGUUCCCGGAGAUGACUUUUGGACUGCGGAAACGUUUGUCAGAGGAAAGAGGCUUCAGUUUAAUGUGAGAUCAUUGGAAGUUGAACUAUUCAGGCGGCGAGCAGAGCCCCUUCCUCCAUCUUCCCACUGUAUGGUCUUGUCCCUUAGCCUAUAAUUUCUUAUAAAGAGCGUUUUGAAGACUAGGUUUUUACUGGCAGCGCCCUGAUUCAGCCUCACAGUAUAAAGAGAGAAGUCAGAGAAUCCUAGAAAUUUAUUGCUUGAAGAAGGGGUUGGUGUCCUCAUAUCUCACCUUCCUCAGGCUGGGCUUCAUCACCAGGCCUCCUCACAGAUUCCUGUCCGUUCUGUGUCCUGGACUCCGGAUACCUCAACUCUCAGUACUUUGUGCUCAGCCCAGGCCCAGAGCCAUGGCUAUCUCCUCUUCCUCCUGCGAACUGCCCCUGGUGGCUGUGUGCCAGGUAACAUCGACGCCAGACAAGCAACAGAACUUUAAAACAUGUGCUGAGCUGGUUCGAGAGGCUGCCAGACUGGGUGCCUGCCUGGCUUUCCUGCCUGAGGCAUUUGACUUCAUUGCACGGGACCCUGCAGAGACGCUACACCUGUCUGAACCACUGGGUGGGAAACUUUUGGAAGAAUACACCCAGCUUGCCAGGUAUCAGGGAAAGAGCGAGGGAGAGGUAGAAUCUUUGUUGGACAGUGUCCCUGGGUUGCCAGAUAUGAGGGUAGAGCCUUGAGAAGUCAGUGAAGAGUUGUCAGUGUCCCUUCCCCCCAGGGAAUGUGGACUCUGGCUGUCCUUGGGUGGUUUCCAUGAGCGUGGCCAAGACUGGGAGCAGACUCAGAAAAUCUACAAUUGUCACGUGCUGCUGAACAGCAACGGGGCAGUAGUGGCCACUUACAGGAAGACACAUCUGUGUGACGUAGAGAUUCCAGGGCAGGGGCCUAUGUGUGAAAGCAACUCUACCAUGCCUGGGCCC
rnacentral:sRNA from 1 species